rnacentral:ribozyme from 13 species
UUCUUCUCUUUCUUCUUCUUCAGAAAGCUCUUCUUCUUGUCUUUCUUCUUCAGAAAGUCAAAUAAUCUGUUGGGAUUCAUUGUUAGAAGAAGAGAUCAGUGAAAGCGAGAACAUAAGUGAGAAAAUAGAUCAAGAGAAGAAGAAAAAAGAAGUUGUGUCACUGUUGCAGGUGAUUUAUGGACAAAAAGGAAAGAUAAAAAAGGAUCGAUC